GUUGCCCUGGGUCUAUGAAAGGGAGCCCCUGCUCGAUAUCUUAAACUUUGUUGAAGAGCGUUUGCAGGAAGAGGCUGACAAGUUCCCAUGCUCACUGAACAGUCAAGCCCAUGAGCUUCAGAAAGCAGCUUUAAUGCAAAAAUAACCAUUUUCUAAAAACUGACUGUUGCUCCUGGAAGAAUAAUUCAUAAUUGUAACAGGCUGGCCCAAAGCUGCUACAUGUCCCACAAUCCCCUUGUUCCAUUCCAAGCGAAUGCAGUUGUUUGAAGCUUCUUCCAAGGUGGAACCUUCUGCAACAUCAAACAGCCUGCUGAUAAGAAACUUCUCAUUGGAGCUAUCCUCACAGACCAGGAAAAGGGAAUAACGGUCAGCAGCUAUGAGCUCAUGGAUGUGCAGGAAAAUUUUGUGGCAAAGGGCUGUGACGUCCAAACCGGGAUGGUAUGAACUCUCUCAGCAAACCAUGCAUUGACCAUUUCUCUGCAAAACAGAAGUGAAAGAUGGUACAGCAAUGACUGCCAACGUGCCAGAUUAUAGUGUGAUACUUCCUUGGAGACUGAAGAUCUGACAGAACAAACAGAAUUCUGGAAAGAGAACUUGGGGUACUGGACUGAGAGACAGCAAUGAAAACUUGGAAUAGAUAACAUGGAGCUCUUCAGAACAGAAUUACUGCACAAAGGCCCAAUCCUGCAAGGAACCAAGCACCUAAACUCCCAGGUUGCAGGACUUGGCCUUGAGAUAGCUCCUCUUGAAUGAUUUUUCCACUCUUGUAAUGAACGAGAGUUACAUACAAGAGGAUUAUCAAACAAGGUCUAUAAUAUUAUAAAGAGGAGCUGGUUCAAAAAUAUUCUUUAAAAAAUGUAUUUACCUCAAGCUGAGUGCAGUAUAUCUGUAGGCAGAUGUGGCAAUGAGAGUCUGUGAUUGUGGUGCACUUGCUUGCCCUUUGCAAGCUCUGACUUUUAAAUGCAGUGACACUAUUUACAGUUGUCAUUUUAAUGGAAGGGUCAUCAGGAAGGCCAGCACAUAGCUGCCCUUUGUCUUUAGUGGAUCCCCAAGGUAUGUGAACAGUAAGACACAGUCAUCCGACCCCUUUACUUAUGAAAACAUGCAUCAUCUCUGAAAUUAAAGUAAUUUUUCUUAUGUACCCAAUAAACAUGUAUAGACAUUUUCUUGGCUAAAAUCUGAAACAUAGAAUUUGUAACCUCAGCUGAUCAUCAUUUUUCUAAAGUGGAAGCAUCAUACUGUAUAUGACCAGAUCAUAGAAUAAAUUAAUUUAAUUUUUGCAAAUCA